ACGGAAGGCAGCAGUAGGGAAUAUUGCACAAUGGGGGAGACCCUGAUGCAGCGACGCCGCGUGAGUGAUGAAGUAUUUCGGUACGUAAAGCUCUAUCAGCAGGGAAGAUAAUGACGGUACCUGACUAAGAAGCACCGGCUAACUACGUGCCAGCAGCCGCGGUAAUACGUAGGGGGCAAGCGUUAUCCGGAUUUACUGGGUGUAAAGGGAGUGUAGGUGGUCAGGCAAGCCAGAAGUGAAAGGCCGGGGCUCAACCCCGGGACUGCAUUUGGAACUGUUAGGCUAGAGUGCAGGAGAGGUAAGUGGAAUUCCUAGUGUAGCGGUGAAAUGCGUAGAUAUUAGGAGGAACACCAGUGGCGAAGGCGGCUUUCUGGACUGUAACUGACACUGAGGCUCGAAAGCGUGGGGAGCAAACAGGAUUAGAUACCCUGGUA
rnacentral:rRNA from 1 species